UGUCCGGGUUGAGGUUGGUCUCACAAUUAUUUUUCUUUUGAGUACGUCAAUUGUUGUAUACACCGUUGCUAAUGUUUAAUGUUGGAACGUUUUUCCCUUCAUUAAAAUUCGCUAAUCACAUCAAGAUAAUUAAUAGCAACAAUAGGUGUGAUUACACACUCUCUAAAUGUAACGAAAUAUUUCAAAGCUAGUAAUUUCGUAGCCUAAACAUUCUCAUUUCAUAACGAGGAAAAUUAAGAAUUUUAACAUGAUUAGAAUUUAUUCCCAUGAUGAUCAGUAGAAUUUCAUGUAAGGCAGAAACAAUUGGUAUAUUAUAAGAAAGCUGUAUGUUAUUUUUUUUUGUCGGUCGGAAUAUGAAAAUUAUACGUGAAUGUGAGGUCAAUUUUUAUUGGUCAAUCGUAAAAAAGCGCACUUGGUAAAAAUCCUACGACGGGUGGAAGGUCGUCAAACCAGUAAGAAGAACCCUAGAAACGCAAUCAGUGCGUUUUCUCGUCCCGACCGUCUCCUCUAUUCAAAUUCUCGUUCUCUCCGAAACGGUCGGCCUCCGAUGGCCUUAAGAAUUCACCCUCUUCCCCUAAUUGCCCUGCCACGACCCCCAAAAUCCCGCCUUCGCCCCAUCUGUUUCAAUGAGCGCAAGUCUCUCGUCGUCUCCGUGUCGUGCGCGGGGAAGGAGAUCGGCGACGCUGAGGUCGCGUCCGCUUUGGCCGAGGAGGUCGCGAGGGUGCACGCCCAGAAGAGGCAGAAAGACGAGGCCUUGAGCAAGAGCAGGGCCCUCUUGUUCUCCGAGCUCUGCGGCUACUUGUCGCUGAGUGAGGACGAGUUGCAGAAGAAGUGGGAGAGGAUGGAGGACGGCGAGAGGAGGGAUUUGGCGAAGGAGUUCGUGUCGAAUUGGAGCGUCCAUUUCCAUCCUCUGUCCGCGAGGUCCGUCGUGGAGAUGGUGGAAGAGCAUCUGCAGCAAGAAAAGAAGCCGUCUUUUUCGAACGAUUCGACGUUUUUUCCUAGUUUGAAGAGAUUGAUGGGUUUGGGUGAGAGCAAGUGAAUGUUUCUGGGGGUUGAAAUUUUGUCGGGCCCUAUGGAUGUCGAUGUCAGGGCCUUCAAAGACAGUGAGGAAGCUCCCUGAAGGAGACGAGAUUGGCCCUGAUCUUUUAGAACCCAUCAAGAACUCAAGGAUCUUCAUACCAAUUUUAUCUAGAGAGUAAAGAUUAUGCUUCUAGUAGAUGGCGCCUCAAGGAGAUGGUGCCAAUGGUUAAAUGCAGGGAAGAAAGGAAACAUGUGAUCUUUUCAAUCUUCUGUUCCGUCCCAUGAGUGCGGCACUCAAAAGCCUUCUCUCGGCGCAAUAAGCAUUACAGCCAUGAGACCGAUCCAAGGAUGGAGGGAUGCUCUUAAUGUGGAUGGAGCAUUGGAAGGAUGGGAAUUGAAGAACAUUGCUAAUGGGUAACUUGUUAACUCAUGAGUUUGCGUGACUUGCUAUGUUGUGGAUUUCUAUUUUCUGGCCUGGUGAAUGCAUGCUUGGUUUGCUAGUAUGUAUCUGGAAAACAGAUCAUUGCUAUUGUAAAUUACUAGUCAAUACUAUGGCAUGUCAAGCUUAUAUAGUAUGACUGGCAUUUGCACAUCGCAUCACCGUGUUUUAUCACUGCUUUAACCGCCACCACCACUAGCUAGCCAAUGCAGCGGUACUAUACUGCUAUUGCCUCUACAUCCACCAUCGGUUAGGUAAGACUGCUGUAGCCAAGGUAGUGUACGACCAACUUCUUGAACCAUUUGAAUGCCAUAUAUUUGUCAAAGACAUCCGAGAGCCAUUGCUGCAACACAAGGGUCUUGAAUAUUUGCAGAGUUUACUGGUUGCUAACAUCCUUAAUGGUGACCACUCUGUCUUUGCAAGUUUCUAUGAGGGGAUCAAAGAGCUUGAGCAGAGAUUGGGCAGUAAUAAAGUUCUCAUUCUUCUCGUGAGAAGCUGAAGCUCUUGUAUCUUGGAAGUUGCAGAAGUCUACGUGAGAUUGAAGGGCUUGAAGAGAUGGAAUCAUUGGAGUUGCUGAACAUUUCUUGGUGCACAGAAAUUGAAAGAACUACCAAACCUUUCAAAGCUGCAGAGGUCACGAAAUGGAUAAAUUUGCGUUUGUGAGAAAUAUAGAUUCAGGGUCUUGAGGUACGUGAGUCUCUGAAAUUGCUGGACAGUACAGGAUGCACACUUGUACAGCGCUUGAAAAUGUACCUGAUAUGCCAAGUCUUACGAUUAAGCGUUUAAAUAUAGUUAUUUAGCAAAGAUGGAGGUUACUUAUGUGCCGAAUGUUACAAUACGCCUUUCAAAAAGAAAGUUUGAUGCGAUGGCCUCUCCGUGCGACUUCCAGCAGGUAAUGACCCUAAUUGCUUGGUUCUGUUUUACUCAAUUUCAUUUUUCUGUCUGCAUAGUCGUUGAAGCAAUUGCUUGUUCUGAUGAAUUUCUUUUCCAACAUCCAAAAACAUCGUCGACAAAUAAAGAACCGCAAAAAAUAACACCCCUAUAUUUCCCCGUAUGUUGAAUUAGCAC